rnacentral:rRNA from 1 species
GACGAACGCUGGCGGCGUGCUUAACACAUGCAAGUCGAGCGGAAAGGCCCUUCGGGGUACUCGAGCGGCGAACGGGUGAGUAACACGUGAGUAACCUUCCCCAGACUUUGGGAUAACCCUCGGAAACGGGGGCUAAUACCGGAUACGACACAGCUUCGCAUGGGGUCUGUGUGGAAAGUUUUUCGGUUUGGGAUGGGCUCGCGGCCUAUCAGCUUGUUGGUGGGGUGAUGGCCUACCAAGGCCACGACGGGUAGCCGGCCUGAGAGGGCGACCGGCCACACUGGGACUGAGAAACGGCCCAGACUCCUACGGGAGGCAGCAGUGGGGAAUAUUGCACAAUGGGCGGAAGCCUGAUGCAGCGACGCCGCGUGAGGGAUGACGGCCUUCGGGUUGUAAACCUCUUUCAGCAGGGACGAAGCGUAAGUGACGGUACCUGAAGAAGAAGCGCCGGCCAACUACGUG